UGGGGAAUAUUGGACAAUGGGCGAAAGCCUGAUCCAGCAAUGCCGCGUGGAUGAAGAAGGUCUUCGGAUUGUAAAGUCCUUUCGGCGGGGACGAUGAUGACGGUACCCGCAGAAGAAGCCCCGGCUAACUUCGUGCCAGCAGCCGCGGUAAUACGAAGGGGGCUAGCGUUGCUCGGAAUGACUGGGCGUAAAGGGCGCGUAGGCGGCAUAUCCAGUUAGGCGUGAAAUUCCUGGGCUCAACCUGGGGACUGCGCUUAAUACAGGUAGGCUAGAGUGUGAAAGAGGGUCGUGGAAUUUCCAGUGUAGAGGUGAAAUUCGUAGAUAUUGGAAAGAACACCGGUGGCGAAGGCGGCGACCUGGUUCAUUACUGACGCUGAGGCGCGAAAGCGUGGGGAGCAAACAG
rnacentral:rRNA from 1 species